GGAGGGAGGUCAUUACUUGCUCUAGGUCUCAGCUCCCCGACUGGGAAGGAUCCUUUCUCCCUCUGUUCUUUCUAACUUGCUUGUUUGUAUGGAUAACUUUGCAGCACAGUAACAUCUACUCUCUCUGCGUGCUCACGAGGAUGGGUCCUUCUCCCGGCUGGGGCCUCUAGACAGCACCACAAAUAACAAAUACGGUUUCCCCUUUAUGUCUGUCUCCUUCAUCUCCAUCCAUGCUGCAGUGUCUGCAAGAGCCCGUGAGGAGACACAGCCUUUUGCUGCCUGGCGAUCCCAGCAAGAAAUGGGAGGCUGAUGGAUUGCAAACGCACCUGCAUGGUUUAAAACCCAGCCAAACAGAUAAGUGCCCUUUUAAUUUUCUCACAAUAGCGUUUUAGACAUACCUGUGCACAAAACACCUCUCUUCACGCUGGUUUUAAUUUGGGGAGCUGUCUGUGUGUCACCCUUAAAAAUGAAUGCUCUUUGUUUCUCUUUUCUGCUGAGAAAAGCCAGAUGAUAGCAGUGCUUCACACGGGCUGAUUAAUUAGAGUGAGGUUGCUGCAGCUGAGGGCUCUGGAGGCUGCUGGGGCUCUGGGGAGUGGGGCUGCAGUACCGGGCGAUGCUGGUGUGGCCCAGCCCAGCCUGAGGAGCCCUCCGGGACUCAUUAUUAGGGGUUUAAUAACCAGGCUUGGCUGGCUUGAUUGAGAAGAUGCUUGUGCACUUGGCGCGAUCUCAGAGAAAGCUAAAGCUGGUGGAAGGAGAGGGCUUUGUACAUGUGCUGCUCAUAUGUGCACAGAGAAAGCGAUAAACCUGCUCCUCCCUGGAGGGGAAAUAGCAAGGGAGAUGGGACAGAAGCCCUCCGUUAUUUUGAGUCUGCACAGUGUGGUAUCGUGGGUGAGGGGCAAUGGGAAAAGUUCCUGCAGAGCUGUGGGGCAUUUGUAUCUGUGGGCAGGAAAUAGAGCACAUCUGGAAAAUAACUUCUGGCUUCUUAGAUGUGCUACUGCCCGUUCACAAGCACACAGAUGCAACUGUUAAAUAAUGUAAGUAAUCUAGAAAAUACAGUUCUCGUGUACAGUGUCACUGCAAUAGUACACGGCCACGGGGAUGGGGCAAGUAUUUGCUAAACCCGUGAUGUACAGCAUGAGAGUAAUGCAAAAAUCACUGAUGCAGUGUGUUGGAGGCCAUCUGUGGCAGGUGAGGACAGGACCCAGAUGAUUCCAGACCCAUCUUGUCUGCUCUAGCGGGGUUAAUUAGCAUUGUAAAAUGUCCACCUGGCUGUUAGGCUAACUACAAACAUUUGUUACAGCAAAUUAGACUGUGCUAACUGAUAUGAAAUUUGCCUUACCUACCUAAAUGAGAGUUUCUUGCUGAGGGCAUCAGCCCAGAACCAAGAGAAGCUGGAGGCCGAUUCCUUGCCUCAAAUUGGCCGAGCACAGCCUGUAGCCUGUGUGUCUUGUCUUUUACUGCCUGGAAAUGCAGCUUGUAACACUGCCCGUCCCUGCAGGGAAGGGCCACUGAGUAAUGGGGAAUGAGAGCCGGGGUGAUGAAGCAGGAGGUUGCUGCAGCACAAGGGCUGGAUCGAGGUCAGCUUCUGAGAUCCCUGGAGUGCCCGAAGUUCUCUCUUUUCUCGGAAAAACUCCUCACCCUUGCUGUUGUUACUGAGAAGGGAUUUGUAUUAAUAGUAGAAACAGCAUUUCUGAUAUCAGUGACAGCCCUCUAUCUUAGAAUACACAGCAAUAUUUAUUCUUGUCUCUUCAGUAAUCUGAUAGUGAAAAGGCUUGGUGUUUGGCGUUGUAUUAAGGAACACAGCUAAAGUGAAGCCUUCACGUUAAGGCUAUAGCUGGGGGUUGUUCAGAGAUGGAUGGUAAAUUAAAACAGCUUAAACCAUUUGUGUAUGUCAACUAACAGGGCUCUUCGCUCCUCCAAAAUAAAUAAAUAAAAUUGACCCUCAAGGUCUUGAUUAUUAGGUGUGCAACGUGAAAUGUGUUUUUCUGCUGAUGUGCCGAUAUCAACGUUCACCCAAAUUAGUUCCCAAUAAAUUAACCCCUAACCUGGCUAGUUCCAUCCAGGGCUGCAAACCUCUCUUUGGGCAUCAAAGUUGCAUUUGGAAAUCAUGUCCUAAAGUGUGGCAUGUGAGUUUCUCUGUGCUCCUUGGCGGAAGUGGGAGAAAAAGCUGCCAGUCCCUCUCAGGAGCCGUGCUGAUAUGAGUGUACUAUAUGCAGCUGUGGUUUAUCUGCUGGUUAUAGACAGUGGCUGAGGAGGAAUCAACAGAUCUUGACAGAUUGCUGCAAAAAAUCUUGUCCAGGAAAGAAGACCCCCAAAUCCCUAACUCUUUCCUUGUCUUACAGGUGAGCCUUGAGGACAGCUGAGAGGCACCAUAACUCCUAAAUGCAUGAGCUUCUUCUGGGAUUAGAAGAGCAGCCAUGGGGAAAGACAAGAAAAAAGAGGAGGCUGUCUUUCUGAGGAAAAAGAUAACUUUGCUGAGGGCUUUCUCGCUUCUCAUCGGCAGCAUGGUUGGCAGCGGCAUCUUUAUCUCCCCUAAAGGAGUGCUGAAAAACUCGGGCACUGUGGGCUUCUCCCUGGUGGUCUGGUUUGCCUGCGGGCUCCUCUCAAUGUUUGGUGCCUUGUGUUAUGCAGAGCUUGGAACAAGGAUCACCAAGUCUGGAGGACAUUAUAUCUACAUUUUGGAGACAUUAGGGCCUCUACCAAGUUUCUUAUUUCUGUGGGCUGAGUUUUUUGCUAUCAGGCCUGCCAACAGUGCCGUGGUUUCGCUGGCUUUCGGGCGCUACCUGCUGGAGCCUUUUUUUGCCCCCUGUGCAGCCCCUGUUCCUGCCGUGAAGCUCGUCUCUCUCCUGGGGUACUACGCGGUCCUCACCCUCAACUCCUGGAGCGUCUCCUGGAGUGCCCGGCUGCAGACAGCCCUCUCCAUCGUCAAGCUGCUGGCGCUCGCGCUCAUCAUCGUGCCGGGGAUGAUGCUGCUGGCACAGGGCCACACCGAAAACUUCCAGGAUGCUUUUGACAAGCAGUCGCUGGUCCCGGACAAGCUGCCCUUGGCUUUUUAUGCGGGCAUGUUCGCCUACUCGGGCUGGUUUCAGACCAGCUUUGUGCGGGAGGAGUUGGUCAGACCUGAACGAAACAUCCCCUUGGCUGUCAUUGUGUCUGUGAUCACCGUCAUUGUGGGGUACAUGCUCACCAAUGUCUCCUAUUACACUGUCCUGGGAACACAAGAUGUUCUGGCUUCUCCAGCUGUGGCUGUGAGAUCCCCACGUGUUUCUGCAGUCACGCUUGCUUUUCCCCCAGAGUUUUGUGCAGCGGGCCUGCAGAAGCCUUAUCUCAGUGGUCCCGGUCCUUGUUGCGCUGUCCUGCUUUGGAACCAUGAAUGGAGGAAUCCUCACCUUUUCAAGGACACUGUUUGUGGCUUCCAGGGAAGGGCAGUGGCCUCCUCUCUUCUCCAUGAUCCACAUUCGAAGACAUACUCCUCUUCCUGCUGUCAUGUUAAUGUUCCCUUUGGUUACAACCAUGGUGUGUAUCGGAGAUAUCUACCAUCUAAUGAACUUCUUCAGCUUUUCCCGAUGGCUCUUCAUAGGAUUAGCCACCCUUGGGCUCAUUGUCCAUCGCUGCCGUCACCCGGAGCUGCAGAGCCCGUUCAAGGUCCCCCUCUUCAUUCCCGUCUCUUUUACCAUCAUCUGCCUCUUCACGGUGGCCAUGUCUUUCUACUCGGACCCUGUAAACAUUAGCAUCGGAUGCACCAUGGUGUUAAGUGGCUUUCCAGUCUACUACCUCGUAAUCCACAGGCAAAUGUCAAACCGCUGCCGUAGCCUGCUUUAUUAUGUUACGCAGAAGCUGCAGUUACUGCUGGAAGUAGUUCAACAAGAAAUCAAGACGUACUGAGGAAACCAUCAUAACUUAAAGGAGAAGAUGAAAUCUACUUACUCCAUUUCUGAUACCUUUGAUCCUACAAAAAGCAGGCCACGCUCUUAUUCUUUUGAUCAGUGCAAAUGAGGAUGAACCUGAGCCAAAACGUUGAUGCAAGCAGUCCUAAGCUUGCCAGUCAGGAUCUGGAUGAGUGUGUCACAUCUGCUUCUGCCCUUUUCUUUUUUAGCAGAACAAUCUCGUUCUUUGAAAUGAGCUUUCUUUGCCUGCAAAGUGUCUUUGAAGAAAAGAUCUUAAUUUUGUGGCCCGGCCCAGCCCAGUCCUCAGCAAAAUAUAUACUAUUUUUAAUUUCCUAACUUGGCAAACAGAGGAAGAGGUCCUACUGCAGAACUACUGAAGAGCCCAGCCACAUGGAAGCCAAACACAGGUUUCAAACUGAAGCUUCGUAGUAGUUAAGGGAAAUGGUGCUGUGAAGAAGCUUUAUAAAGGGAAAUGGACGAGGAGAGCAAAUUAGAAAUAAGGUAGAUGAACUGGAAAGUAGGAGGCAGGAGACUAAAACUUCAUUCACCAGGAAGAACAAAUCAUUGACAAAGUGAAGUCAGAAUGUUUUGCUUUGAUAAUUGUAUAAGGAAAAUAAAUUUAUUUUGCUUAUACAAUAAUGCUUCAGUUUUGAAUUUUGUUUUUCUGAACUGAUGUUUCAAAUGUACUGACACAGUGAAAAACAACAACAAAAAAAUAAUCUGAAUACCCACAAGAAUAGGACAGGGUAAAUUCUGAUUCCUCACCUGGUACUACUAAUGAAGUUGAAAAAUUGAGAUUUUGGCCCAACUCCAGUGAAACACAAUUCUCCUGCAGGAGGACAAGAUCACUGAUGAGUCUUGGGCAGAUUCCUUCAUAAGCACAUCUUUCGGUGCUGUAAGAAGACAUUCAAGACUUCAUGUCUGAGCUUUAACUUUAAAUCUACAGUCAAAUGACUUGCUGAAUCGAUACAUAAAUGCUCACGUGAACCAUUGCCACCAGAAAUGUUUCUGUUGUUGGGUUAUUUUGGAUUACAUUAUUAAUGUUGCAAAGUUAUGUCCAGAUAAAAGAGAAAUUAACACUUAAGUGAUUGGAAAUAGUUAAUCUUUUCCUAAAAGAUCAGAAGUAGCAUACAGGGCAUCGGCUGAUGGCCCCUGAAGAGAGGAAGAGCAGAAUGUGAAGCAUUUUUAACCUUUUGUAUCAAGCAUUUAUGUACUUAGAAAACUAAGUAGCAUUUACAAAACCAAUGUAAUCUACCAAAACUUGUAAAAUGCACUAUCAAGAUUUGGAAAUAAAUAAUUAGGACUUUUUUUUUAAGCAA